rnacentral:rRNA from 1 species
AUUGAACGCUGGCGGCAGGCCUAACACAUGCAAGUCGAGCGGAUGAAGAGAGCUUGCUCUCUGAUUUAGCGGCGGACGGGUGAGUAAUGCCUAGGAAUCUGCCUGGUAGUGGGGGAUAACGUUCCGAAAGGAACGCUAAUACCGCGUACGUCCUACGGGAGAAAGCAGGGGACCUUCGGGCCUUGCGCUAUCAGAUGAGCCUAGGUCGGAUUAGCUAGUUGGUGAGGUAACGGCUCACCAAGGCGACGAUCCGUAGCUGGUCUGAGAGGAUGAUCAGCCACACUGGAACUGAGACACGGUCCAGACUCCUACGGGAGGCAGCAGUGGGGAAUAUUGGACAAUGGGCGAAGCCUGAUCCAGCCAUGCCGCGUGUGUGAAGAAGGUCUUCGGAUUGUAAAGCACUUUAAGUUGGGAGGAAGGGCUGUAAGCUAAUAUCUUGCAGCUCUGACGUUACCAACAGAAUAAGCACCGGCUAACUCUGUGCCAGCCGCCGCCGUAACAC